rnacentral:rRNA from 1 species
GAUGAACGCUAGCGGGAGGCCUAACACAUGCAAGCCGAGCGGUAUUGUUUCUUCGGAAAUGAGAGAGCGGCGUACGGGUGCGUAACACGUGUGCAACCUGCCUUUAUCUGGGGGAUAGCCUUUCGAAAGGAAGAUUAAUACUCCAUAACAUAUUGAACGGCAUCGUUUAAUAUUGAAAGCUCCGGCGGAAAGAGAUGGGCACGCGCAGGAUUAGCUAGUUGGUGAGGUAACGGCUCACCAAGGCGAUGAUCUUUAGGGGGCCUGAGAGGGUGAUCCCCCACACUGGUACUGAGACACGGACCAGACUCCUACGGGAGGCAGCAGUGAGGAAUAUUGGACAAUGGGUGAAAGCCUGAUCCAGCCAUCCCGCGUGAAGGACGACUGCCCUAUGGGUUGUAAACUUCUUUUGUAUAGGGAUAAACCUACCCUCGUGAGGGUAGCUGAAGGUACUAUACGAAUAAGCACCGGCUAACUCCGUGCCAGCCGCCGCAGUAA